rnacentral:rRNA from 1 species
GAUGAACGCUAGCUACAGGCCUAACACAUGCAAGUCGAGGGACCGGCGCACGGGUGAGUAACACGUAUCAAACCUGCCCUUUACUCGGGGAUAGCCUUUCGAAAGAUAGCAUAACACAAGAUAUAAAGGAUGGGGAUGCGUUCCAUUAGGUUGUUGGUGAGGUAACGGCUCGCCAAGCCUUCGAUGGAUAGGGGUUCGGAGAGGAAGGUCCCCCACAAUGGAGCUGAGGCCCGGUCCAAACUCCGACGGGAGGGAGCAGUGAGUAGUAUAGGUCAAUGGGCGCUAGCCUGAACCAGCCAAGUAUCGUGAGGGAUGAAGGCUUUUGAAUCGAAAACUACUUUUAUGUAAGAAUAUUUAUUAUAUGAAUAAGGAUCGGCUAACUCCGUGCCAGCAGCCGCGGUAAUUC